rnacentral:rRNA from 1 species
UAGGGAAUCUUCGGCAAUGGACGGAAGUCUGACCGAGCAACGCCGCGUGAGUGCAGAAGGUUUUCGGAUCGUACAGCUCUGUUGUUAGAGAAGAACGUUGGUAGGAGUGGAAAAUCUACCAAGUGACGGUAACUAACCAGAAAGGGACGGCUAACUACGUGCCAGCAGCCGCGGUAAUACGUAGGUCCCGAGCGUUGUCCGGAUUUAUUGGGCGUAAAGCGAGCGCAGGCGGUUCUUUAAGUCUGAAGUUAAAGGCAGUGGCUUAACCAUUGUACGCUUUGGAAACUGGAGGACUUGAGUGCAGAAGGGGAGAGUGGAAUUCCAUGUGUAACGGUGAAAUGCGUAGAUAUAUGGAGGAACACCGGUGGCGAAAGCGGCUCUCUGGUCUGUAACUGACGCUGAGGCUCGAAAGCGUGGGGAGCAAACAGG